AAAAACAUCGCUCCUUGCUAAAACGUACUCUCACCUUUAAAUAUAAGGAGUCAGGCCUGCCCAGUGAUCUUAGGAUUAAACGGCUGCGGGUAAGACCGCAUUAAAGUAGCACAAUAACUUGCUUUUUAAUUGAAGGCUAGAAUGAACGGUCUAACGAGAGCCAUACUGUCUCUUUAAGAAUAUCUAAAAAUUAAUUUCUAGGUGAAAAAGCCUAGAUACUACUGAGGGACGAGAAGACCCUGUCGAGCUUUAGUGUACCACGACUCGAACAAAAAUGAAACUGUUAGAGUCGUGCUAAUCUUUAGCUGGGACGGCUUAGGGGCAAGAAAAACCCCCUAAUAAUCAAGCUAAUUUAACUAAUAUAUUUGACCCAGUAUUACUGAUCAACGAACAAAGCUACCGCAGGGAUAACAGCGUAAUUUUUUCAAAGAGCUCCUAUCGAAGAGAAAGUUUACGACCUCGAUGUUGGACUAAGAUAUCCCUAAAGUGCAGCAGCUUUAAAGGGUUGGUCUGUUCGACCAUUAAAAUCUUACGUGAUCUGA
rnacentral:rRNA from 1 species